rnacentral:rRNA from 1 species
CGGGGUGGAGUAAUGUCUGGGAAACGUGCCUGAUGGAGGGGGAUAACUGCUGGAAACGGUAGCUAAUACCGCAUAACGUCGCAAGACCAAAGAGGGGACCUUCGGGCCUCUUGCCAUCGGAUGUGCCCAGAUGGGAUUAGCUAGUAGGUGGGGUAACGGCUCACCUAGGCGACGAUCCCUAGCUGGUCUGAGAGGAUGACCAGCCACACUGGAACUGAGACACGGUCCAG